rnacentral:rRNA from 1 species
CCUACGGGACGCCGCCGUAGGGCCUCUUUCUCCCUUUUUUCCCCCCUGCCGCAGCACCGCCGCGUGGAGGAUGAAGGUUUUCGGAUUGUAAACUCCUUUUGUUAGAGAAGAUAAUGACGGUAUCUAACGAAUAAGCACCGGCUAACUCCGUGCCAGCAGCCGCGGUAAUACGGAGGGUGCAAGCGUUACUCGGAAUCACUGGGCGUAAAGAGCGCGUAGGCGGGAUAGCAAGUCAGAUGUGAAAUCCUAUGGCUUAACCAUAGAACUGCAUUUGAAACUGUUAUUCUAGAGUAUGGGAGAGGUAG